rnacentral:ncRNA from 2 species
UGUGUAGUAAAGAUUAAAAGUGCCCACAAGUUAAUUGCCUUUUAAGAUAGUAGGGAAAUCAGUGAGAAUCUGAUGCAGCACCUGUUACUGUAUGUGUCGAUGAAAUUGUCAUGCGAUUGGAAAAUAAUUCAAGGAAGGGACAAAAGUAAGUUUUAGACACAAGUCAGGAAGAUCGCUUUUAAUUGUUUGCUUCC